rnacentral:rRNA from 1 species
UACGUAUGGAGCAAGCGUUAUCCGGAUUUACUGGGUGUAAAGGGAGCGUAGACGGCUAAUCAAGUCAGAAGUGAAAACCCAGGGCUCAACCUUGGGACUGCUUUUGAAACUGAGUAGCUAGAGUGCAGGAGAGGUAAGCGGAAUUCCUAGUGUAGCGGUGAAAUGCGUAGAUAUUAGGAGGAACACCAGCGGCGAAGGCGGCUUACUGGACCGUGACUGACGUUGAGGCUCGAAAGUGUGGGUAUCAAACAGG